rnacentral:RNase_P_RNA from 1 species
CAGAGCGUGUGAUCGCGGCCGUCAGUGCCGAAAGGCGGCGGCUGAGGAAAGUCCGGGCUUCACAGGGCAGGAUGCCGGAUAACGUCCGGCGGGAGCGAUCCCCGAGAUAGCGCCACAGAGAACAGACCGCCGCUGAUGCGGUAAGGGUGAAACGGCAGUGUAAGAGACUACCGGUGGAGCGGUAACGUCCCGCGCAUGGCAAGCCUCAUCUGAAGCAAGACCGAAACGAAAGGAACUGGCUGCCCGUCAUAUCUUUCAGGUUGGUCGCUUGAGCUUCCCGGUAACGGGAAGAGUCAGACAGAUGAUCACACACGACAUAACCCGGCUUACAGCUCUGCUU